AGCGUACACGGUGGAUGCCCUGGCAGUCAGAGGCGAUGAAGGGCGUGCUAAUCUGCGAUAAGCGCCGGUAAGGUGAUAUGAACCGUUAUAACCGGCGAUACCCGAAUGGGGAAACCCAGUGUGAUUCGUCACACUAUCAUUAACUGAAUCCAUAGGUUAAUGAGGCGAACCGGGGGAACUGAAACAUCUAAGUACCCCGAGGAAAAGAAAUCAACCGAGAUUCCCCCAGUAGCGGCGAGCGAACGGGGAGGAGCCCAGAGCCUGAAUCAGCAUGUGUGUUAGUGGAAGCGUCUGGAAAGGCGCGCGAUACAGGGUGACAGCCCCGUACACAAAAGCGCAUGUGCUGUGAGCUCGAUGAGUAGGGCGGGACACGUGGUAUCCUGUCUGAAUAUGGGGGGACCAUCCUCCAAGGCUAAAUACUCCUGACUGACCGAUAGUGAACCAGUACCGUGAGGGAAAGGCGAAAAGAACCCCGGCGAGGGGAGUGAAAAAGAACCUGAAACCGUGUACGUACAAGCAGUGGGAGCACAGGUUUACCUGUGUGACUGCGUACCUUUUGUAUAAUGGGUCAGCGACUUAUAUUCUGUAGCAAGGUUAACCGAAUAGGGGAGCCGGAGGGAAACCGAGUCUUAAUUGGGCGUUAAGUUGCAGGGUAUAGACCCGAAACCCGGUGAUCUAGCCAUGGGCAGGUUGAAGGUUGGGUAACACUAACUGGAGGACCGAACCGACUAAUGUUGAAAAAUUAGCGGAUGACCUGUGGCUGGGGGUGAAAGGCCAAUCAAACCGGGAGAUAGCUGGUUCUCCCCGAAAGCUAUUUAGGUAGCGCCUCGUGAAUUCAUCUCCGGGGGUAGAGCACUGUUUCGGCUAGGGGGCCAUCCCGGCUUACCAACCCGAUGCAAACUGCGAAUACCGGAGAAUGUUAUCACGGGAGACACACGGCGGGUGCUAACGUCCGUCGUGAAGAGGGAAACAACCCAGACCGCCAGCUAAGGUCCCAAAGUCAUGGUUAAGUGGGAAACGAUGUGGGAAGGCCCAGACAGCCAGGAUGUUGGCUUAGAAGCAGCCAUCAUUUAAAGAAAGCGUAAUAGCUCACUGGUCGAGUCGGCCUGCGCGGAAGAUGUAACGGGGCUAAACCAUGCACCGAAGCUGCGGCAGCGACGCUGAUGCGUUGUUGGGUAGGGGAGCGUUCUGUAAGCCUGCGAAGGUGGCCUGUGAGGGUUGCUGGAGGUAUCAGAAGUGCGAAUGCUGACAUAAGUAACGAUAAAGCGGGUGAAAAGCCCGCUCGCCGGAAGACCAAGGGUUCCUGUCCAACGUUAAUCGGGGCAGGGUGAGUCGACCCCUAAGGCGAGGCCGAAAGGCGUAGUCGAUGGGAAACGGGUUAAUAUUCCCGUACUUGGUGUUACUGCGAAGGGGGGACGGAGAAGGCUAUGUUGGCCGGGCGACGGUUGUCCCGGUUUAAGCGUGUAGGUGUGUGUUCCAGGUAAAUCCGGUUCACUUUAACACUGAGGCGUGACGACGAGGCACUACGGUGCUGAAGCAACAAAUGCCCUGCUUCCAGGAAAAGCCUCUAAGCAUCAGGUAACAUCAAAUCGUACCCCAAACCGACACAGGUGGUCAGGUAGAGAAUACCAAGGCGCUUGAGAGAACUCGGGUGAAGGAACUAGGCAAAAUGGUGCCGUAACUUCGGGAGAAGGCACGCUGACACGUAGGUGAAGUGAUUUACUCAUGGAGCUGAAGUCAGUCGAAGAUACCAGCUGGCUGCAACUGUUUAUUAAAAACACAGCACUGUGCAAACACGAAAGUGGACGUAUACGGUGUGACGCCUGCCCGGUGCCGGAAGGUUAAUUGAUGGGGUCAGCGCAAGCGAAGCUCCUGAUCGAAGCCCCGGUAAACGGCGGCCGUAACUAUAACGGUCCUAAGGUAGCGAAAUUCCUUGUCGGGUAAGUUCCGACCUGCACGAAUGGCGUAAUGAUGGCCAGGCUGUCUCCACCCGAGACUCAGUGAAAUUGAACUCGCUGUGAAGAUGCAGUGUACCCGCGGCAAGACGGAAAGACCCCGUGAACCUUUACUAUAGCUUGACACUGAACAUUGAGCCUUGAUGUGUAGGAUAGGUGGGAGGCUUUGAAGUGUGGACGCCAGUCUGCAUGGAGCCGACCUUGAAAUACCACCCUUUAAUGUUUGAUGUUCUAACGUGGACCCGUUAUCCGGGUUGCGGACAGUGUCUGGUGGGUAGUUUGACUGGGGCGGUCUCCUCCUAAAGAGUAACGGAGGAGCACGAAGGUUGGCUAAUCCUGGUCGGACAUCAGGAGGUUAGUGCAAUGGCAUAAGCCAGCUUGACUGCGAGCGUGACGGCGCGAGCAGGUGCGAAAGCAGGUCAUAGUGAUCCGGUGGUUCUGAAUGGAAGGGCCAUCGCUCAACGGAUAAAAGGUACUCCGGGGAUAACAGGCUGAUACCGCCCAAGAGUUCAUAUCGACGGCGGUGUUUGGCACCUCGAUGUCGGCUCAUCACAUCCUGGGGCUGAAGUAGGUCCCAAGGGUAUGGCUGUUCGCCAUUUAAAGUGGUACGCGAGCUGGGUUUAGAACGUCGUGAGACAGUUCGGUCCCUAUCUGCCGUGGGCGCUGGAGAACUGAGGGGGGCUGCUCCUAGUACGAGAGGACCGGAGUGGACGCAUCACUGGUGUUCGGGUUGUCAUGCCAAUGGCACUGCCCGGUAGCUAAAUGCGGAAGAGAUAAGUGCUGAAAGCAUCUAAGCACGAAACUUGCCCCGAGAUGAGUUCU
rnacentral:rRNA from 1 species